UAUCAGUCAUGCAUAGCAUAUCAAUAAGCGGAGGAAAAGAAACUAACAAGGAUUCCCUUAGUAACGGCGAGUGAAGCGGGAAGAGCUCAAAUUUGAAAUCUUCAAGGUUUUACCUUGACGAAUUGUAGUUUAAAGAAGUGUUUUCUGUUGAAGUUUUGGUAAAAGUUCUUUGGAAUAGGAACAUCAUAGAGGGUGAGAAUCCCGUAUUUGACCAUUACUUUCAGCUUUAUGAUACACUUUCAAAGAGUCGGAUUGUUUGGGAAUGCAGUCCAAAAUGGGUGGUAAAUUUCAUCUAAAGCUAAAUAUUGGCGAGAGACCGAUAGCGAACAAGUACCGUGAGGGAAAGAUGAAAAGAACUUUGAAAAGAGAGUUAAACAGUACGUGAAAUUGUCAAAAGGGAAGCGUUUGACACCAGUGUUGUUUUCUCGAAAAUCAAUUAAAAAGAGUUGGAUUUUGUGUUGUAUUGACUUUAUCAGCUUUCUUCACUCUUUUCCAGCUUUUUUUAAUGCACUUUUCGUUUAACAAGUCAACAUCAGUUUCUUUUGUUGUAAAAAGGUCAUUGGAAGGUGGCUUUCUCUUCGGAGAAAGUGUUUAUAGCCUUUGACUCAUGCAAUCGGAGAGACUGAGGUCUGCAGCGUAGAUCCUUCGGGGUUAGAUACAUUUGUGCUAAGUUAUAGCUUUUCAUAGACAACUUGUUGACUAUGUUUAGUCUUGUAGCUUACUCGCUUAUGCUAUUUUACCUACGCUUAGGAUGUUGAACUCUAUCACACACAG
rnacentral:rRNA from 1 species